rnacentral:rRNA from 1 species
GAUGAACGCUGGCGGCGUGCCUAAUACAUGCAAGUCGAGCGAACAGAUGAGGAGCUUGCUCCUCUGACGUUAGCGGCGGACGGGUGAGUAACACGUGGAUAACCUACCUAUAAGACUGGGAUAACUUCGGGAAACCGGAGCUAAUACCAGAUAAUAUAUUGAACCGCAUGGUUCAAUAGUGAAAGACGGUUUUGCUGUCACUUAUAGAUGGAUCCGCGCCGCAUUAGCUAGUUGGUAAGGUAACGGCUUACCAAGGCGACGAUGCGUAGCCGACCUGAGAGGGUGAUCGGCCACACUGGAGCUGAGAGACGGUCCAGACUCCUACGGGAGGCAGCAGUAGGGAAUCUUCCGCAAUGGGCGAAAGCCUGACGGAGCAACGCCGCGUGAGUGAUGAAGGUCUUCGGAUCGUAAAACUCUGUUAUUAGGGAAGAACAAAUGUGUAAGUAACUAUGCACGUCUUGACGGUACCUAAUCAGAAAGCCACGGCUAACUACGUG